UACGUAGGGGGCAAGCGUUGUCCGGAUUUAUUGGGCGUAAAGAGCGUGUAGGCGGCCAGGUAGGUCUGCUGUGAAAACUCGAGGCUCAACCUCGAGACGCCGGCGGAAACCAUCUGGCUAGAGUCCGGAAGAGGAGAGUGGAAUUCCUGGUGUAGCGGUGAAAUGCGCAGAUAUCAGGAAGAACACCUAUGGCGAAGGCAGCUCUCUGGGACGGUACUGACGCUGAGACGCGAAAGCGUGGGGAGCGAACAGG
rnacentral:rRNA from 1 species